UGGCCACCUAAUGCGAAGAACUGACUCAUUGGAAAAGACCCUGAUGCUGGGAAAGAUUGAAGUGUAUAAUGGAAUCACUUUGCGUGUACCUGAAACUAACACAACAUUGCGAAAAAAUGAAGACCAAUAAUGGAUUAAUCGAGGUCUUUGUAUCCAUACUGGUGAAGAUUUGUGACAGUCUGUUAGGUGCGGAAAGAAUUCUGGCAGUGGAGUGAAAAGGCCAAGCUCAGUGACUUCAGAUACGUCCUGCCAGGCCUCAGUGUGCUCAGAGGUAACCUGAGAUGGAGAAAGAGUGAAGCGUUGUCCUGAGGAUGAAUGAGGUGACGAUCGAGAAAGGACUCUGGGCCACCCCCACGGUGCAGUGUUUAUUUUUUUAAUGAAUCACCCAAAUUCACAAAGACCUAGAGCAAGGAAGAGCAAACCAUGGCCCACGUGCCAUGUCUAGCCCAUCUCCUCUUUUCUCUUGACCUCUCGAGCCAAGAAUCACUUCACAUUUUAAAAAAUAGUUGGGGGAAAAAUUAUAGAAGAAUAAUAUUUCCUGCCACAUGAAAAUUCCAUGCAAUUCCAAUUACCAGUGUUCUUAAAGUAUCGUUGGAACCUA